AUACGUAGGGUGCGAGCGUUGUCCGGAAUUACUGGGCGUAAAGAGCUCGUAGGUGGUUUGUCGCGUCGUCUGUGAAAUUCCGGGGCUUAACUCCGGGCGUGCAGGCGAUACGGGCAUAACUUGAGUACCGUAGGGGAGACUGGAAUUCCUGGUGUAGCGGUGAAGUGCGCAGAUAUCAGGAGGAACACCGGUGGCGAAGGCGGGUCUCUGGGCAGUAACUGACGCUGAGGAGCGAAAGCAUGGGUAGCGAACAGGAUUAGAUACCCUGGUAGUCCAUGCCGUAAACGGUGGGCGCUAGGUGUAGGGGUCUUCCACGACUUCUGUGCCGUAGCUAACGCAUUAAGCGCCCCGCCUGGGGAGUACGGCCGCAAGGCUAAAACUUAAAGGAAUUGGCGGGG
rnacentral:rRNA from 1 species